rnacentral:rRNA from 1 species
AGUGAACGCUGGCGGCGUGCCUAAUACAUGCAAGUCGAACGGAGUGGCGCACGGGUGAGUAAUAUAUAGCUAAUCUGCCCCUUGCUGGCGGCCACCAGUUAGAAAUGCCUGCUAAUACUCCAUAGCAAGGGAUGAGACUAUAUCGUAUCAGCUAGUCGGUGGGGUAACGGCCUACCUAGGCUAUGACGCGUACCUGGUCUGCGAGGAGGAUCAGUCACAUUGUAGCUGAGACACGGUCCAAACUCCUACGGGAGGCAGCAGUAGGGAAGAUUGCGCAAUGGGGGAAACCCUGACGCAGCAACGCAGCGUGGAGGAUGACACUUUUAGGAGCGUAAACUCCUUUUGUUAGGGAAGCGGUACCUAACGAAUAAGCACCGGCUAACUCCGUGCCAGCAGCCGCGGUAAUAC